rnacentral:rRNA from 1 species
GUCCACGCCGUAAACGAUGGAUGCUAGCCGUUGGCGAGCUUGCUCGUCAGUGGCGCAGCUAACGCUUUAAGCAUCCCGCCUGGGGAGUACGGUCGCAAGAUUAAAACUCAAAGGAAUUGACGGGGGCCCGCACAAGCGGUGGAGCAUGUGGUUCAAUUCGAAGCAACGCGAAGAACCUUACCUAGGCUUGACAUGCACGGAAAUCCUCCAGAGAUGGUGGGUCCGCAAGGGUCGUGCACAGGUGGUGCAUGGUUGUCGU